rnacentral:rRNA from 1 species
CCAGCACCCGCGGUAAUUCCAGCUCCAAGAGCGUAUAUUAAAGUUGUUGCAGUUAAAAAGCUCGUAGUUGGAUUUCUGGUAUGACGCGCCUGGCCCGCUUAUGUGAGUGCCGGCGCGCGUUUGCCAUCCUUCUAGAAAACGUUUCUACCCUUUAUUGGGCCGGACUCGCGAUCUAGAUCUUUUACUUUGAAAAAAUUAGAGUGUUUAAAGCAGGCUUUUGCUGUGAAUACAUUAGCAUGGAAUAAUAAUCUAGGACUUCGGUUCUAUUUUGUUGGUUUCUAGUACUGAAGUAAUGAUUGAUAGGGAUAGUUGGGGGUGCUAGUAUUGGCCGGCCAGAGGUGAAAUUCUUGGAUUCGGUCAAGACUAACUUAUGCGAAAGCAUUCACCAAGGAUGUCUUCUUUAAUCAAGAACGAAAGU